rnacentral:lncRNA from 1 species
AUGAGAUCAGGAAUCUUCCACUGCUGCUCCCAUUAUGACAAGACUGCAGGAACUGUAGGUGGCUUUUACAUCAAAUGUCAACCUAGACAUCAGUAUGAAUGAUGAAACCUCCCAGAGCUAUAACAGUGCCCAACAUUAAGAAGAUGACUUCAGGCCCAAUACCCUAUAUACUGUGCUACCUAGCUAUUCAUAAUCCAUGAUUUCAUCGAGUAUUUCAUUCCAGCUAUGGAAACUCCCUCUACCUAUGCAGAGUUACAUUCACUCCCAUUACAAGCCAGGCAAGUCAAGAACGUCAAUCACCUUUAAGCCCAGAUCUACAGGACAAACUCUGCUGAAUCUGUUUGUGGACAGAAACCAGGCAACAUUGCCAGGGAUGGAUUCAGAGAAACCUGGAAGGACCAGUAUGAACUGAUAUAGUGAAGUGAGCAGACCCAGAACCAUUAGUACAUUGAUGACAACAUUGUAAAACAAGAUGACUUCAAAAGAAUUAAGAAUCCUGAUGAUCAACCACAUCUCAAAAGCCUGAUGAUAAAUCAUGCUUUCCACUUCUUGACACAUAUUUUCAGAGGUAAUUGGUAUAUUUUUUCUUGAUUAUACUUAUUUGUUACAAGAGAGCUAGGAGGGAACAAGGG